UGAUAAUACAGACAUUGUCAAGAAGAUAAAUAUAUUACGUGAGUAGAUCAAAGCUAAUAUAGUAACAGCUACUGCUAGUGGGAAGAACCUGGAAGAAACGGGAGGUGAGGAUGAUGGAAUUCUGGAUGUGAGUGAUGAUGAUUUUUUCUUAAAUGGAAAUUCAAGUGAUGAAGCUGAUGCUGAUGAGUUGAAAA